rnacentral:rRNA from 1 species
AACGAACGCUGGCGGCAGGCUUAACACAUGCAAGUCGGGCGCCCCGCAAGGGGAGCGGCAGACGGGUGAGUAACGCGUGGGAAUCUACCCAUCUCUACGGAAUAACGCAUGGAAACGUGUGCUAAUACCGUAUACGUCCUUCGGGAGAAAGAUUUAUCGGAGAUGGAUGAGCCCGCGUUGGAUCAGCUAGUUGGUGGGGUAAAGGCCUACCAAGGCGACGAUCCAUUGCUGGUCUGAGAGGAUGAUCAGCCACACUGGGACUGAGACACGGCCCAGACUCCUACGGGAGGCAGCAGUGGGGAAUAUUGGACAAUGGGCGCAAGCCUGAUCCAGCCAUGCCGCGUGAGUGAUGAAGGCCCUAGGGUUGUAAAGCUCUUUCACCGGUGAAGAUAAUGACGGUAACCGGAGAAGAAGCCCCGGCUAACUUCGUGCCAGCCGCCGCCGUAAUAC